ACAAGCCGGAGGUGUCCGCCCCGGAAGGACUCGUAAGAAGGAUUCGAACUCAGCCAAGCUCUCUGCCUCCCGCCCUCCCCCAGGCUCCUCUCCCUCCGGCCCCUCUUUCCCGCGUCCCCGCCAUCACGUCAUAGUUACCGAGGCCGGAGGCGCGAGACUGGGGGAGUUCCACCGCCCGGGAAGAGGAAUUGCAGCACAAACUGUGUGAACUUCAUGAAUCUGGAGCUGCAGUACAAGCCGGACCACUAGACUUUCCACUUCACAACCUGAACCCAGGAGACAAGGUAUAUAUUAAGAAUUUCCAGUGUACUGGAGCAACUUGGCCUUCCUGGGAAGGGCCAUUCCAAAUAUUAACUACUCCAACAUCUAUAAAGGUUGGAGAGAAGGACUCUUGGAUUCACUGCUCACAUGUAAAGAGAACAUCUGCUGUUGAGACUGAUUGACUCUAUCCUAUCACAUGAGUCGGAGAUAAUAAUCCAUUGACAAGUGGAUACUGUUUUUCGAGAACACAUUAAAUUCCUGAUUUUUUCAUUAUUGCUUUUCUUUUGAUUAGAAUAUUUUAUUUUUCCCUUUUCCUCAUUUCUUGUACUAAAGGCACAUACAAUUAAUUUUUUCUUUUCUCCAGUAAUAUAAGUUUAUAUAUAUACAUAUAUAUAACAUACAUACUUGUUAUAAUAUCAAUGCAUACCCCAAAACUUUAAACUGUGGGAACCUGCCAUUUAUUGAUAAACUCUUAUGGGACUGUGAUGAAUAUUUGUGUCUGAUUCCAGAAAAUGGGAUAAAAACAAGGAUCACAGACUUAACCUGAAUAGUGCCAAAAAGAGCACACAGGAAAAAAUACUAAUGUGGAUUCGAGGUUGUGACGCUUGACAUAUGCUGAGUCAUAGGACUUCCUUGUAUCUACACCCUUUGUGAAGUACUCAUACAAGUACCAAAAUUUGACUAUCGUGCUGGCUCCCUAUAGCCCUGAGAAUAAAAAAAGUCAGACCAGGGAAUGACGCUUCCCUAUCAAAAU